rnacentral:rRNA from 1 species
GACGUAGGGCGCGAGCGUUGUCCGGAUUUAUUGGGCGUAAAGAGCGUGUAGGCGGCCAAGCAGGUCCGCUGUGAAAACUCGAGGCUCAACCUCGAGACGCCGAUGGAAACCAUCUGACUAGAGUCCGGAAGAGGAGAGUGGAAUUCCUGGUGUAGCGGUGAAAUGCGCAGAUAUCAGGAAGAACACCCGUGGCUAAGGCGGCUCUCUAGUACGGUACUGACGCUGAGACGCGAAGGCGUGGGGAGCGAACAGG